UCCUUCUUUUCUUUUGGUCAUAAUCCACUAGUUUUUCGACAAAGGAUGGCUCAUAAAUUGAAGAAUGUUAGAGAAAAACUAGAUGCCAUUGCCAAGGAGAGACAAAGUUUCCACCUAACAGAGGGGGUUGUGGAGAUGGAAACAAAUAGUUCUGUUCAGCGUCAGACUUGGUCUUCGGUGAAUGAAUCAGAAAUUUAUGGAAGAGGCAAGGAGAAAGAAGAACUAGUCAACAUCCUGCUCUCUAAUGCAGACAAUCUCCCUAUUUAUGCUAUAUGGGGAAUGGGGGGACUAGGAAAAACAACACUUGUUCAACUGGUCUUCAAUGAAGCAAGUGUUAAACAGCAAUUCGUUUGAGGAUCUGGGUGUGUGUAUCUACUGAUUUCGAUCUCAGAAGAUUAACAAGAGCCAUCAUAGAGUCCAUUGAUGGUGCCUCUUGUGAUCUUCAAGAAUUGGAUCCCUUGCAACAUGCCUCCAACAGAAAGUUAACUGGAAAGAAGUUUUUGCUUGUAUUGGAUGAUGUGUGGGAUGAUUAUGGUGAUAGGUGGAAUAAAUUGAAGGAGGUAUUAAGGUGUGGGCUAAAGGUAGUGCUGUCAUAGUAACUACGCGUAUUGAGAUGGUUGCUCAGAAUGGCAACAGCUUUUGUCAAGCACAUGGGGAGAUUGUCUGAAGAAGAUUCUUGGCAGUUGUUUCAACAGCUUGCAUUCGGGAUGAGAAGGAAAGAGGAGCGGGCACGCCUGGAAGCCAUUGGAGUAUCAAUAGUGAAGAAGUGUGGUGGUGUUCCUUUAGCUAUAAAGGCACUAGGGAACCUAAUGCGGUUAAAAGAAAGUGAAGAUCAGUGGAUAGCUGUCAAAGAAAGUGAGAUUUGGGAUCUAAGAGAAGAAGCAACGAGAUCUUACCUGCUUUGAGGUUGAGUUACUAAUCUAUCACCACAUUUGAAGCAAUGCUUUGCGUAUUUCGCUAUAUUUCCAAAAGAUCACGUGAUGAGGAGGGAGGAGCUGGUUGCUUUGUGGAUGGCAAAUGGCUUUAUUUCUUGCAGAAAGAAAUGGAUUUGCACGUCAUGGGCAUUGAGAUAUUCAAUGAACUAGUGGGAAGGUCAUUUCUGCAAGAGGUCGAGGAUGAUGGAUUUGGCAACAUAACAUGUAAAAUGCAUGAUCUUAUGCAUGAUCUUGCACAAUCCAUUGCAGUACAAGAAUGCUAUAACAGAAGGCGAUGGGAGUUGGAAAUUCCUAAAACUGCCCGUCAUGUUGCUUUUAUAACAAAUCAGUAGCUUCGUCUUCUAAGUUCUCAAGGUCCUAUCACUUCGCUCACUUCUUUGAGGAAUGAAGAGUAUGGAUGGAUGGGGAAAGAUUCCUGGUCGAAAACAUCGAGCCUUGAGUUUAAGAAUAUCCGGGUGAAGAAAUUGCCGAAGUCAAUUUGUGAUUUGAAACAUCUAAGGUAUCUAGAUGUGUCAGGCUCGAAGAUCAAAACACUGCCUGAAAGUACAACCUCUCUCCAAAACCUCCAGACACUAGAUCUGAGAGAUUGCAAUAACUCAUCCAAUUACCAAAAGGUAUGAAGCACAUGAAAAGUCUUGUCUAUCUUGACAUCGGGUUGUUAUUCACUUCGAUUUAUGCCUUGUGGAAUGGGGCAAUUGAUAUUCCUGCGAAAACUUACCCUGUUCAUUGUGGGUGGGAGAAUGGUCGUCGCAUAAGUGAGCUGGAAGGGCUGAAUAAUCUUGCUGGUGAAUUGAGUAUCACAGAUCUUGUGAAUGUUAAGAAUUUAAAAGAUGCCAAAGUGCCAAUUUGAAGUUGAAGACAGCUCUUUUAUCACUGACUUUAUCUUGGCAGGAAUGGAGAUUACCUUUUUGGCCCUCUGUCAUAUGUGCCACCAGAACAAAGAAAGAGUGUGGAUAUGGAGGUCCUUGAAGGGCUUCAACCUCAUUCAAAUCUGAAGAAGUUGAGGAUAUAUGGAUAUGGAGGUUCAACAUUUCCUAAUUGGAUGAUGAAGCUACCAUAUCUGGUAGAGAUGGAGCUAUCAGCGCACCACUGUGAACAACUUCCACCAUUGGGGAAACUACAGUUCCUCAAGAGUCUUAAAUUAUGGGGAAUGGAUGGUGUGAAGAGUAUUGACAGCAAUGUGUAUGGAGAUGGGCAGAAUCCAUUCCCAUCUUUGGAGACGCUGGCUUUCUAUUCAAUGGAGGGAUUAGAGCAAUGGGCUGCGUGUACUUUUCCUUGCCUUCGAGAUUUGAGGAUAGUCGGUUGCCCUGUGUUGAACGAAAUACCAAUUAUACCCUCCGUCAAAACAUUACACAUCACGGGAGUGAAUGCUUCGUUGCUGAUGUCAGUUAGGAAUCUCACUUCUAUCACCUCCCUUGAUAUAGGAGGGAUUCACGCUAUAAGGGAGCUUCCCGAUGGGUUUUUGCAAAAUCAUACCCUCCUUGAAAGCUUAGAAAUUGGUGGGAUGCGAGAUCUGGAGUCUUUGUCAAAUAGGGUAUUAGAUAACCUUUCUGCUCUUAAAAGCUUGAGGAUUUUUGAAUGCGAGAAACUUGAAAGCUUGCCAGAGGAAGGUCUUCGUAACCUCAAUUCCUUGGAGCUUUUAAGCAUAAAGUAUUGUGGAAGAUUAAAUUGUCUGCCAAUAAAUGGGAUGUGUGGCUUAUCUUCUCUUCGCGAGUUAUCUAUUGGAAGUUGUGAUAAAUUCACAUCUCUAUCAGAGGGAGUGCGGCAUCUGACGACACUUGAGGAUUUGAAGCUUGAAGGAUGUCCAAAGCUGAAUUCAUUGCCAGAGAGUAUCCAACAUCUCACUUCACUCCAAUCUCUAAGAAUAUGGAACUGCGAGGGAUUAGCUUCUUUGCCAAAUCAGAUUGGAUAUCUCACUUCUCUCCAAUCUCUAUACAUUCGGGGUUGUCCAAAUUUGAAGAAAAGGUGUGAGAAAGAUUUAGGCGAGGACUGGCCUAAGAUAGCUCACAUUCCUAGCAUUGACAUUAGAUGAGAAUAAAUUUUAUUUUUUUAGUUUUAAUUUGUUGUAAUUUUUUAAAUAACUUUAUCAAAUUCAUUAUUGUUAUAUUUUUCAUAUAAAUGUGUAAAAAUAAUUGAUUCAUGAUUAUUAUGGGGACAUUGGGGAUUGUGAUAGAUUAUUGUAUAGAGAUUAGACUUUUUGGCAUCGCAUUUAUGGGUAUAAAGAUUUUAUUGUAAUUUCCUUCCUCACAUAUUUUCUUUUGGUGAAAUUGCUUUUAGCUAAAGAUUACAUGAACCACGCUACGCAAACUGGAAAAAAAAAUCUUGGCAUUCAAACAUAUUUUAAAAAACAAGAAAAUGUUGGGAUCUGGAUCAUCAACUCGGCUAGGCUAGAUCAAAUAAGUUUCUCCUAUCUCACAACAUCUUAUGCACCAAACAAAGAAAUCAAAAUAGCGACCAUUUUAAGAAAAAAUAACAUUAAUAAAAAAAUAACAAAAAUACAUUUUAAUCUAACAGGUGUCAUAAAAGAAUUGAGAAUCCAAGGGGAAGAAAUGAUCUAAGCAAACCCCAAGUGCGCUUCUGGACAUGCAACCCAUGUAUAAGAUAAUGAUAAUUUUUUAAAAAUCUUUUAAAAAAUAAAAAAUAGAAUACAAAGCGUAUAAACAGAAAAAAAAAAAAUAUUGUGAUCUUUCUAACACUCUUGAAUGGGCAAUUUUCAUUAUCUCCUCUCGAUGUUCCACCUAAAACAUGUAGAGUGAUUUAACAUGAUGACCCGUUAACAAAAUGCACCAACAAUAAUUUUUAUUUAAAUAUUAUUUUUUAAAUAUCAAACUGGCCCUGUUUUAACCCACAAUUACAAAAUAAUUGAAUUGAAAAGACAAAUAUACCCUUUCACCCUAGUUUAAAAAAUCUUGACUUAAGGAUGUAAUUAAGUAAAUAAAUUGUUCAUUUGAAAAGUAGAAAACGGGCCGGCCCUUGUCUUGACCCAAUGAUUACCAAAAGACCAAAAAAAAAAAUUACGAGUAACCUUAAGAACACAGUUAAAAUAUAUUUGUUUUAAAGGGCAACAAAGUUAAUUCAUUAUGUUUUUUUAAUUAAAAAAUUAUAAUCACCCCUCAAUUGAAGCAAUUUUUAUUGCAUAUCAAGGGCAUCUGAGUCAUUACACUAUAUAAUAUAUAUAUAAAAAUACAUUCUAGAUCCUAAUCAAAUUAAUAAUGAUAGAUAUGUCCAAUUACAAUUGGACCCUGAAAAUAAUGUAAAUGAGUUUUUUAAGGUUAAAAUAAUAAAUAUACUAUUGUCGUCCACAUUUCUCUAAGUUUGUGUGCGCAGUAAAUUCAAAAUUUGUUUUAGUUUUUUUUAUGUAACUUUAUUUUUUUGUUAAUUUUUAAAUAUUUUUGAAUUCACACCUCUUUUAUUUAAUGAAACAGGCCGCAUACUAUUUUCAGAGAUCCGUUUAAGAGGGGCAAUAGCAUCCUUGUGAGUGCAAUUUUGUUCCCUUAUAUCUUUCCACUUGAUAUCGCCACCACAGCUUGAUCUCAUUCUCUCCGAUGUUGAUGUUUAUUGGAUUAGUCAUAUGUGAAGCUUAAACUCAAGAUGUUGUUGCUGAAGGGCUCUGGUAUUUUAUUUUAAUUUUAUCCUAAUCCACCCUUACUUUCUUCAUUCUUUUUUCUUAUAAGAUAACUGCAAAGUGUUUUAUAAUUAUGAUUAAUGAGCAAUCUGAUAAAAAAAACCAGGAAUGACCUUGAGCAAGAAUACAUCUAUUGGUUGGUCUCUUGGUGGUUAUCCUGGUCCUCCGGGACCAUACUACUGUGGUGUUGGUGUUGACGAAGCCUUCGGCAUUGUUGAUGCACAGUAGACGGCAUGCCUGUAUGCCGGUAUGAACAUUAGUGGUAUGAACGGAGAAGUGAUGUCGGGCGAGGUAAAAUAAAAGAACGAGCAUAUCCCCUCUACCAUUUUGAUCUUACAGUUCUAGUUUAGAACCAUUCUAAUCUUGUUCUGUCUUACAACGUUAAAGUGGAAAUUUCAUGCAGUGGAAAUUUCACGCUGGACCUUCAGUCGGUAUCUCUGUUGGAGAUGAAUUAUGGGCUGCAGCUCGGUACAUUCUGGAACUAUUCCCAUUUCUAUUGUUUUCUGAAAUGUCUAUAUUUAUGUUAACAGAGGAUUACUGAGGUUGCUGGAGUUGUGCUUUCAUUCGAUCCUAAGCCAACUCAGGUCAGUUUUUAUUUCAUCGUACCCUACUGGAUGCUGCCAGUGUGCAUGUUUUCAGUACUUUUAUUGUCUGAGCUCUCAGGAAAUUGGACUUCUGUUUUGUCAAGAAGAUUGGAAAGGAGCGGGGGCACACAAAAAUUACAGGUUCAAAUUUUUUUCGUUGAUUGAAGCUUAAUUUAUUUGCUUCUUUGUUCCACACUUGCUAUUUUUUUUUUAAUCUUAUACUUGAAAAUUCUUCACAUUUUCUGUGCUAUGUCUAUGAGAAAUGAAGGAGGCUGUGAAGUCAUCAAGAAAGCAGUUGAAAAGCUUGGUAUGAGGCAUAAAGAACAUAUCGCAGUCUAUGGCGAAAGGGAUUGAGCAGAGACUUGUUAAUUAUUUGGAGACAAACCAUGUCCCACCAUGUGCAAGUGGGAAUCCCCCACUUUGCACACGGUGGAGGCAACGGUGGACACAAAUGAUGAUGUCCUUCCCUCAUCCCUUGUAUAUGUAUAUGAGCUGUGUGUGUGCAUGUAUAACAGUGUGUGAAGAGAAGAAGAGAGAGUUGCAGUUGUGUGAAACACAAAGAGAAACACAUAGAGAGAGCUAGGGAGAGUUGAGUUGAGUUGAGAAGAAUUUUCUCAUCCUCCUUGUUUUGUUGUUUGUAUUGUUUGUAAGCUUGAUUAAUACAAACCAAUAGCUCCGUGGAGUAGGCAAGUUGCCGAACCACGUAAAUUGUGUGUGUUUGAGUUCUGGAAAUAUCCCAACAACUGGUAUCAGAGCUUGUUCUUGACGAAGAGGGUGUUUGAUCCAAACUCAAAAAUCAAUGUUCUCAAAACGUGUUUUUGACCAUACCAUCGUGUAGAGGACAACCGGACGAAUCCACUGGUGAAAACCCGGCGAAGAACCGACGUCCUGCAUGCCCGCACGCGCCACCGCACAGACGGCCCACGCGCAGCAACGCGCCUCACGCGCGACACGCUCCUUCUUCACCCGUUUUUCUGCAAAACGGGUCGGGUCUGACCCGCCACGUCAGCCAAGUCGCACGGUCAACGCCACGUCACCUGCCACGUCAUCCAUCUGGGUUUUGAUCUGGUGCACCGCAGAUGGUAAUCGUCUGACACGUGGCUGCAUCAUCACCGUCGAAGGGUUUGAUCCGGUGCGACUCAGGCUCUAAUCGGAGGACACGUGGACUAAUCUGCACCGUCACUGAGUUUUGAUCCGGUGCGACUAAAGGCUGUAAUCUGCUGACACGUGGCUUCAUCAGAACCGCUACUGAGUUUUUAUCCGGUGUGACGCAUGCCUUACUCUGUCUGACACGCGGCUGCAUCUGAACCGUCCGUUAAUCCAAAACUUUAAUUGCUAAAAUCUGAGCCAUCCAAAGUCCGAUUGGGGUGAUCUCAGUGUCAUUUCCAAGGUUUUUGGCCGUUCCGGACACAUCUGUAAGGUCAGAUUUGGCAAAUUCUAAUCAGAGAAAUAUUAAAAAUGGCAGAUGAAAUAAAGGCUGCAGGAAUUGAAAAAUUUGACGGAACAGAUUUUGGAUACUGGAAAAUGCAGAUUGAGGAUUAUUUAUAUGGGAAGAAACUUCAUCUUCCCUUAUUGGGAAGCAAACCAGAAAAGAUGGAAGAAGAAGAAUGGCAACUUCUUGAUAGACAAGUUCUGGGCAUUAUCCGGCUAUCGUUAUCAAGAAGAGUUGCUCACAAUGUUACGAAAGAAAAAUCCACUGCAAAAUUGAUGGAAGCCUUGUCUGGGAUGUAUGAGAAGCCAUCAGCAAAUAAUAAAGUGCACCUGAUGAAAAAGUUGUUCAACUUGAAGAUGGUCGAAAACGCUUCUGUGACACAACACCUCAACAACUUUAAUACCAUCACAAAUCAAUUAUCAUCUGUUGCGAUUGAGUUUGAUGAUGAGAUUCGUGCACUCAUCUUGCUAGCUUCACUUCCAAGCAGUUGGGAAGGCAUGAGGACAGCCGUGAGCAAUUCAGCUGGAAAAUCCAAACUGAAGUAUGAUGACAUUCGAGACUUGAUUUUGGCUGAAGAAGUGCGAAGGAAAGACUCGGGUGAAAGUUCAAGCUCAGGAUCAGCUCUCAACAUCAACACUCGAGGGAGGAGACACGAUAGAGGCUCAUCCAGAGGCAGAUCAAAAUCCAGAUACAGAAGUAAAAGCAAGUUUGGAUCCAGAAAGCAGGUUGAAUGUUGGAAUUGUGGCAAACCUGGUCAUUUCAGUAGGAAUUGCACAAAACCGAAGAAACCUGAAGUUGACUCUGCAAACGCUACCACAGAUGAGGUACAAGAUGCUUUAAUUCUUGCUGUGCAAAGUCAAAUUGAUGAGUGGAUUCUUGAUUCUGGUGCUUCAUUCCACUGUACGCCACACAAUGAAAUACUGCAAAAUUAUGUUGGAGGAGAUCAUGGUGUAGUCUAUCUGGCCGAUGGAACACCACUGAAGAUUGUGGGUAUAGGAGAUGUGCAAAUCAAGACAAUGAAUGGACCUUGUAGAAUGUAAGGCAUGUUCCUGAAUUAAAGAAGAAGUUGAUCUCUGUCGGACAACUUGAUGAUAGUGGUCAUUCAAUACUUUUUGCUGGAGGAAUGUGGAAAGUAUCAAAGGGAGCAAUGGUUUUAGCUCGUGGAAAGAAAACCGGCACCCUGUAUAUGACCACAAGAUUUGCAGACAUCAUUGCCUCAACUGAAGCAGAAAAUCAAGCACAUCUAUCGCAUUGUAGACUUGGCCAUAUGAGUCAAAAGGGGAUGAAGAUAUUUAGUCGAAGGGAAAGCUGCCAGAGUUAAAAAAUGUCGAUCUAGACAUUUGUGAAAGCUGUGUUCUUGGAAAACAGAAGAAGGUCAGUUUCUUGAAGGUUGGCAGGACCUUACGACCAAGAAAGCUAGAACUGGUACACACAGAUUUAUGGGGACCGUCUCCAGUAGCAUCUCUUGGAGGUUCUCGGUAUUAUGUGACUUUCAUUGAUGACUUCAGCAGGAAGGUAUGGGUUUACUUUCUGAAAAAUAAAUCUGAUGUGUUUGAAACAUUCAAGAAAUGGAAGGCUAUGGUUGAGACUGAAUCAGGUCUAAAGUUGAAAUGCUUGAGAUCUGAUAAUGGAGGAGAAUACAUUGAUGGAGGUUUCAAGGAGUAUUGUGCUGUCAAUGGUAUCAGAAUGGAAAAGACCGUUCCAGGCACACCGCAACAGAAUGGCGUUGCUGAACGGAUGAACAGGACCAUCAAUGAACGAGCUAGAAGCAUGAGGUUGCAUUCAGGGUUACCUCAAACAUUCUGGGCUGACGCAGUUCAUACCGCAGUUUACUUGAUCAACCGUGGACCAUCAGUUCCUUUGGAAUUCAGAUUGCCCGAGGAAGUAUGGAGAGGAAAAGAGGUACGACUCUCUCAUUUGAAGGUCUUUGGGUGUGUUUCCUAUGUUCACAUAGAUUCUGAUGCUCGCAACAAGUUAAGCCAAAUCCAAGAAAUGUUUCUUCAUUGGCUAUGGAGAUGAAGAAUUUGGAUUUCGGUUCUGGGAUGAUCAGAAUAGAAAGAUUAUCAGAAGCAGGAACGUGAUCUUCAAUGAGAAAGUUAUGUACAAAGACAGAUCAAGUGAGAAACAGAGAUGGCUGAUUCAGAUACAAGUCCACAAAGAUCUGAAUUCAUAAGAUUAGAAGGGCUUCCCGAUGUUACUAAGCAGAACAACAAUCAAGAGUCUUUACAAGAAGAUUCAAGCACAUCUGUGCCCACUUCCACACAAGAAGAUGCGGAGCAAUUGAACCAGCUGUUCGCAGGUCUUCGAGGACGAUAAAGCCCCCGCAACGGUUCACACUUUUACUGAAUUAUAUUUUGCUGACAGAUGGUGGUGAACCGUUACUUAUGAAGAAUCCUUACAAGAUGGAAACUCAAGCAAGUGGGAGUUAGCCAUGAAGGAUGAGAUGAGUUCGUUGCUGAAGAACAAGACUUGGGAGCUAACACAUUACCUGAAGGAAAGAAGGCCUUGCAAAAUAAGUGGGUUUACAGAGUGAAGACUGAGCAUGACGGAAGCAAACGGUUCAAGGCAAGACUUGUUGUCAAAGGGUUUCAACAAAGAAAGGCAUUGACUACUCUGAGAUUUUUUCUCCAGUUGUGAAGCUCACAACAAUCAGAGUUGUUCUGGGGAUAGUAGCUGCAGAAAAUUUACAUCUUGAACAGUUAGAUGUAAAAACAGCAUUCCUUCAUGGUGACUUGGAGGAAGAUAUUUACAUGCAACAGCCAGAGGGGUUUGCAAUGCAAGGAAAGGAGAAUCAAGUCUGCAAGCUACAGAAAAGCCUAUACGGUUUGAAGCAAGCUCCAAGACAGUGGUACAAGAAGUUUGACAACUUCAUGUGCAGUUCCGGGUAUACAAGAUGCCAAGCUGAUCAUUGUUGCUAUGUCAAACAUUUUGACAACUCCUACAUCAUUCUACUAUUAUAUGUAGAUGAUAUGUUGAUUGCAGGAUCCAGCAUUGAGGAGAUUGAUAAGCUGAAACAGCAGUUGUCGAAACAGUUUGAAAUGAAGGAUCUGGGAGCUGCUAAACAAAUACUUGGCAUGAGAAUCAUCAGAGAUAAAGACAAAGGCAUACUAAAGCUCUCACAAACAGAGUAUGUCAAGAAGGUUCUCAGCAGGUUUAGUAUGGAUAAUGCUAAACCAGUAAGUACACCACUGGGGAAUCAUUUCAAGCUCAGCAAAGAUCAGUCACCAAAACUGAGCUAGAAAGUGGAUACAUGGAUAAGAUUCCAUACGCCUCAGCUAUCGGCUCUUUGAUGUAUGCUAUGGUCUGUACCAGACCAGACAUUGCCCAUGCAGUGGGAGUUGUAAGCCGAUAUAUGAGCAAUCCUGGAAAGCAGCAUUGGGAGGGUGAAAUGGAUCAUGAGGUACUUAAAAGGUUCAUCGGAAACUUGUCUCAGUUUCACAGCUGGUGGUUUGAAACUUGAAGGUUUUGUAGAUGCUGAUCUAGCAGGAGAUGUUGAUAGCAGAAAGAGCACUACAGGAUAUGUUUAUACUCUAGGAGGUACUGCUGUUUCCUGGAGUUCUACCUUGCAAAAGAUCGUUGCUCUUUCAACAACAGAAGCUGAAUAUGUUGCAGUCUCAGAAUCUGCAAAAGAGAUAGUAUGGUUGCAGAGUUUCUUGAAAGAAUUGGGCAAGUUGAAUGGAAAAGGUACUUUGUAUAGCGACAGUCAGAGUGCAAUCUUCCUUGCCAAGAAUCCAGCAUUUCACUCCAGGACGAAGCAUAUUCAGAUCAAAUAUCACUUCAUCCGACAACUGCUGGACGACGAGCAACUAAUGCUAGAAAAGGUCUGUGGAAGCAAGAAUCCAGCAGACAUGUUAACCAAAGGAGUUACACUUGAGAAACUGAAGUUGUGCAAAACUUCAGUUGGCCUUCAAGGAUAAAAGAUAAUUUCAUUGUUUGUCUCCAAGUGGGAGAUUGUUAAUUAUUUGGAGACAAACCAUGUCCCACCAUGUGCAAGUGGGAAUCCCCCACUUUGCACAUGGUGGAGGACACAAAGUGGAGGCAACGGUGGACACAAAUGAUGAUGUCCUUCCCUCAUCCCUUGUAUAUGUAUAUGAGCUAUGUGUGUGCAUGUAUAACGGUGUGUGAAGAGAAGAAGAGAGAGUUGCAGUUGUGUGAAACACAGAGAGAAACACAUAGAGAGAGCUAGGGAGAGUUGAGUUGAGUUGAGAAGAAUUUUCUCCUCCUCCUUGUUUUGUUGUUUGUAUUGUUUGUAAGCUUGAUUAAUACAAACCAAUAGCUCCGUGGAGUAGGCAAGUUGCCGAACCACGUAAAUUGUGUGUGUUUGAGUUCUGGAAAUAUCCCAAGACUUACCGGACAGCGGCACGAAACAGAGGAUAUUAGUACUUUCAAUUGGGUAAGAGGGAAAAGAAACAAUUUCCUUGCUGCUUAAGUUCUUUUAUUAUAAGAUGUCUUACAUUAGUUUCUUUACAUCUUGUUCGAUUGACAAGGUUUUGCUAAUCGCAAAGCUUCCAUUUGUGUUGGCCGUGACAUAGAGAAAGAAGGAAAGGGGUAUUAUGAGGAAAUAAGGCCUGCUUCAAACAUGGAUCUAUAUCUUGCGACUUCCAUGAUUGUAGAAACCACCAUCCUGUGGAAGCCAUGAGAAUCUCAAGCAACACCUCAAACAAAAUAAUGUUGUUGGAAGUAGUACUUACAAGGAACCUUGGAAAGAUUUGUGUCAGUAGGAUGGAUAUCUUUCAAUUUGUUUCCAGUUGUAUUUGAGGCUGCAAGGGAUGUUAUUCCUUUGCUUGCUUGUCUUAUGAUUGAUUCGGCAUUUUGUGUUGAAUAAUGAAAUCUUAACUUUAAUCAUGUGAUGUUUUGUAUUAAAAAGAUUGGAAAAUAAAAUAAAGCCCUUGGAAGCUUAAAAAGAGGGUAUAAAUGAUUGAAGGGUAGUGUGGUAAUUGACCAAUAGUUGAUAAAUAUAAAUAAGAAAAAAAAAAAGAAUGAUAUGAUUUUGAGAGAAAGAGAGCUGCGGGAGAGAAAGGAAAAGAGGAAGAAGAAGAGAAGAAAAGAAAGGAGAGAAGGAAAGGAAGGAGAAGAGAAGUAGAUGAUAUAAGUAAAAAGGUAAGAUUUAUAGUUUUAAGUGUAUAAUAUGUUAAAUUUCGGUUUUGAUUAAUUUUGAGAGUUUUGAAGUUUGUAUUUUGAGUUAAUUGAUGAAUUAAUUUGAAGGUUAGGAGUUGAUUAUUGUGGGUAUUUGAUUAAUUAGUUGAUUUUGAGAGAUUGAAUUGAAGGAUAAUGAUUUUGAGUUAUGAUUUUGUUUAAAUGGGGAAAUUGUGUUAGAAAUCAGGGGAUAACAGUAGGUAAUCUGUUUAAAUUCUGGGUUUGAGGUUGAAGAUGACGAAAAUUCAAUUUGGUCCCUCAAUUUGCGGAAAUUGCAGUUUAGUCCCCGAACUUUGGAAAUUUUACAGAUUGGUCCCUGGGACAUAAAUUGAGGUUCUGAAAAGAACUGAGGAUGAUUUAAGGGCAAAAUUCCAGUAUAAUUAAUAUUUUCAGUUUGGUCCUCCAAUUUGACAAAUUACGAUUUGACCCCUAAUAUUUUGAUAAAAUCACAUUUUGGACCUUGGGGCAUAAUUCAAGAUUCUGGACAAAGAUAAGGACGAAUUAUGGAUAAAUUUCAGUAUGGAUAUAUAUUUACAAUUCGGUCCUCAAAUUUUGGUAAAAUUACGUUUUGGUCCCUGUUUUGGAAAAUUGUCGUUUUAGUCCCUAAACCUAGGAGAUUAAGCCCGGUUUUAUUUUAUGCAUUGGGAUCUUUUGUUUGAUUUUUUUUUGAGUAUAUUUCAUAUAUUUAUUGUACGUUCUCCUAACGAUCCUUAAUCGGAUUUUCUGGUCUUUUGCCUGACAUUCCUUUAGUUUAGUAUUUUCCGGGUGAGUGGAAUAAUAUUUAAUAUGCAUAUAAUAUAAAUAAAUAUGUAUGUUGAUUAUACAAUGAGUACAACUAGUAAAUUUAUUGAAUAUUUAUAUAUGUUGCUUUAUUUUCCGAGUACUCAUUUAUUCUUGAAUUUGCACUCGCAAUCUGAUAAAGUAAAUUCUAUUUGAUAUGAUAUACGUUUCUUUGAUGAUUCUGUGAAUAUCUAUUAUGCCUUGAUAUGGGACUUGUCAGUAACUCCAUGCUAAUGGAGAAUAGUUAGCAUGUGUGCACAUAGUAUUCUGUAUACCUAGCUGGUGAGAGAGGCAUCAGCCUAUGGCGAUUGAUCAUCCCACAGUGGUCACCGACGGGUGUCAUCUGGUCACCGACGGGUGUCAUCUGGUCACCUACGGGUGUCAUAUGAUCUCUGACAUGUAAUCCACUACGUUAUGAUAAUAUGUUACGUUAUGAUAUUAUGUUUAGUAAGUAUAUGUAUAUGUAUAUCACUACAAGAUUUUACAGUUUUACCGACGGAAAUAUUCCGUCGGUGUGUGACAGAACAUUCGUCGGUAAAGUAUUUACCGACUAUAUUACCGACGGAAUACACCCGUCGGAAUACCUUUUGUCGAUGAUUCCACAUUCCGUCGCCAUAUCGGUCGAUAAUACAAAAAAAACAUUUACCGAUGGUUUUACCGACGGACUGUGCGCGCCAAAAAAAAAAAAAGUUUCCCGCUUGGAAUAUACCGACGGAAAAUAUUCCGUCGGUGUUAUGUAAAUACCGACGGACUAUCUCCGUCGGCAAAAGUGUCGGUGAUAUUUCGUACCGACCGAAUAAAUCCGUUUGUAAAUUUGUCGGUAUUUUUAUACCGACGGAUUAUCUCUGUCGGUGAAUAUGUCGGUGAUGGGAUGGAAUACCGCAGACACUGUCCAAUGCCGACGGAUUGUUUCCGUCGGUAAAUCCCUGUGUAAUUUUUUUUUUAAUUAUUUAAAAAAAAUAAUAUAAAUUAAUAGUAAUACAAACCAAUUAUGCAAAUAAAAUUUAUAUUAAGCAACAAAAACUCAAAGUUAAAUAAUAUUCAUUACAAAAUGAAUGUGUUUAAAAAAAAACAAUUAAUAUAAAGGAGGAGGAGGAGGGUGGGGGUUAGGCGGCCAAAAAGGAUUAGGCGCACAUGUUCCACCUUGUGUCAUGUUCAUGACCAUUUGACGAAGCUCUUCAUAGGCCGCUCUUUGUUGUUCAGACUCUGCUCUGCGUUGUUCGUCCGCCAAUUUGUGUUGUUCGUUCGCCAAUCUUUGCUCUUCUUUGAGUUGUGUGUACGCCUCUGAUAGAUGGUCGCACCUUUGCUGCAAGGCCACAAACUCCUUAGAUUGGGAGCUCGAUACAGAUUGGGAGCUCCCACCGGUUGAAGCAGUACCGGUCGACCGCAACUUGGCGGCGGUAGUGUUGGAGAGCCCGUAAACCCGAUUUUUAUCGGGUCCACCUGACGAUCCAGCCUCCAUCCACAAAUCCGGAUCGAAUUCCGGAUGGUUCGAAGGAUCGUCCCCGUAUCUCUCCCUCAACCGAUUAUUAUAGGUCUCCUGAAAAAAAACAAAACAAAUAAUCAUAUUCAAUUCAAUAAACAUGAUAAUAACUUAUAAAAUAAAAUGGUUGAACAAACACACCACAAACUGUUGAGCACGGUUGUCAACGAACUGUUGCGUCCCCUUUUGGCGGUCAUGACUCCGCACGUACGUCUCCACAAACAGCUCCAUAGGGCUCGGCUCACGUCCAAGAGACGUAGCCUAUAUAUAAUGAAAAAAAUGUAUUAACAACAAAUUAAUUGAACGAUAUAUUUCAUUUAAAUUAAUCUUACCAUCCAUUUCGCAUGUGCAGCAAACGGAGCCGUCGGUGUGCGUUGUAACCGAGCCAUGAAUUUGCCGAUUCCGGUUGUCGGCACCGGACUGUGAGCGUCGAGUGAACCGCUCAGACGUCACGUGCUGAAGAUAGUGCGGCCAUAUAUCUUCCGGGAUGUAUAUUGGUUUGAAAUCCCUCCAAACCGCAACAUCGUUCCAACCUUGUAACCCCUUAUCCCUCGCUGUUUUUUUUGCUUUUUUCUGGGCGUCAUACCAAAAAUCACGCAACCUAAUUCACGCACGAAAAAAUUACAUUUCGAAACAUAAAUAAUUAUGUAAAAAAAAGUCGUAUUGUUUUCGAUGUUACCUAAUUGCCGCGUGAUUUUCCCACACCCUCCUCACAACAGUGUCAUGUUCAUCAUCCCAGCAGAAUCGAUGUUGUAUAUAAAAAAAUAAUUUUUUAAAAUGUUAAUAAUUUAUUUACAAUUAUAACUUGAAUUUAUUAGAAAUAAGCUGAAAAUUAUAUAUUAACACGAACCUCAAAUCUACGAAACCAUGUAUUGAUUUGAGGCAUCCAUUCAGGAUGUCUGGAUAUAUGACUCCAUUGAAACAAUGGAAUCUCCAUCGACGCUUUAAACGCCGAUGAUAUUAAUCGGGCGACCUCAAUGUUUGUGAACCUGAAAAGAAAUGAAAUUAAUUUGUGAUUACUUCAUAAAUUAUGUUUUAAAUUUGUUUUUUUUUAUAUAAAAAAAACUAAAACCUUAACAAACUUACAUUGAAAGAUCGUCCUUCCACUGUGCCUCGAACUGGUGGGUAAAUUGAUUCCGCUUCGAAGGCAUGCCGCGUCUGCGAUGUGAAACAUCGCUGGAAGAGGCAGCAUCGGUUGACGGCCCAGGUGGUGUAGGUGCCUCUUCUUGAGAGGCACCUAAGGAAACAUCAUCAUCGCUGCUAGACGAACUUGAUUCGACUGGACGACCAGCUCUGGUUUUCAUUUUGCGCAUCUAAACAAUUUUAUAUUAAUAAUUGUAUAAUAAAAUUCAAAAGUUAAAAAAAAAUCGGCAGCACCUCCCCUAUACUGGAUACUACCCAAAUCCACAAACCUGCAAAUAUUAACAAUAGCCACAACCAAUCGAACCAAUCUAUAUGACAAAAAAUAUAUUCAAUAAUUAUAUUCAAAACAAUAAAAAAUAUGACAAAAAAUAAAUUCAAUAAAUUCAACAAAUUAUAAUUCAACAAAUUAAUCAUUUUAAUUCAACAUUAACAAUUAUAAUUCAACAAAUUAAUCAAUAAUUAUAUUCAAAACAAUAAAAAAUAUGACAAAAAAUAAAUUCAAUAAAUUCAACAAAUUAUAAUUCAACAAAUUAAUCAUUACAAUUCAACAUUAACAAUUAUAAUUCAACAAAUUAAUCAUUAUAAUUAUGACAACAAAACAAUAAAAAAUAUUCAAAAAAAAAAACCUACAUCAAUAAAAGGAACGAAAUAAACAUACCUUAAUAAUGUGACAAAUUCAAUCACCGAUGGAAUUAAUAUCCGUCGGUAAAAGGUAAAAAUUCCGUCGGUAACAGGUCAAAAAUCCGUCGGUAUUUUUUGAAUUUCGCCCCGAAUUUUUAAAAGCCCUCCAUAUUUUUCACAGUCCGUCGGUGAUUCCGUCGGUAAUCUGACAAGUUCAGAGGCGCAUUAAUUCACACACUUUGGAAAUCGCGCGGUCCGUCGGUAUUUCUGUCGGUAAUAUGUGUGACCGACAAAUUACCGACGGACCUAUUCUGUCGGUGAACCCGUCGGUGAUUGUGGCAUUUUGUUCUAAAUAUUUUCGAGCUUACUGUGAGAUGCCGACGGAAUGGUUGUCCGUCGGUAAUGUCGUCGGUGAGUGUGGCAUUUUAUUGUAAAUAUUUUAGAACUCUCUGUGAGAUACCGACGGAUGGUUGUCCGUCGGUAUUGACGUCGGUGAUUGUGGCAUUUUGUUGUAAAUAUUUUUGAACUCUCUGUGAUAUACCGACGGAUGGUUGUCCGUCGGUAUGGACGUCGGUGAUUGUGGCAUUUUGCAGGAAAGGUUGUCUUUGUAUUGCAUGUUUACCUUCCUGCAAUAACUUAACUGAUAAACUGUCUAUCACAUAAAACAAUAACCACAUUGCUUAAACAAUAAAUAUUUUGUUUUACAAAAUACAUCAUCAAUAAUCUAAAUUACAUGAGACAAAUGUUUUUACAUAGGGCUUCAUUUUCAUAAUUAGUCGGAAUUUUCUUCUUCUUCCUCGUCAAUUGAAUUGUCAUCAUCUUCAUCGCAAUCUUCAAUAUGGAUAUCAUCUUCUUCAUCGACAUUUGCUUGUUCGCUAGAGCUGAGAACAACAUUCAACUCCUCUCCGUCAAUAUCAACAAGACUAUCAUCGAGAACUCGAAAAUUUGAAUUUUCUUCCAAUUCAAUCGAAGGAGCAACUCGAUAUGGUUCAACCAACUCACGAACUUGAAAGACUUCAUCUCGCACACUUGUGUCUUCGUUCUCAUCCUGAACAACCUCGACACGACCCCGUGGUUUCGUUUUUAAAACGGACAACCAAUCAACUCUUGAACGAUCCUUUCUAAAUGAAGGGGUGUAUGUGUAAUAAAUUUGUUGACAUUGCUUUGCGAAAACAAAGACAUCAUUUAUGUUGCGGAGUCUAGCUUUUGAGUUGAUUUCGACCAGACCAUGGUGCAGAUCAACUUUGAUUCCUCAGUUCGUCGUGUCAUACCAAUAGCAUUUGAAUAAAAACACUUUAUUCUGCUCGCUAUGAUAUUGCAGUUCGACGACCUCUUCUAAUCUACCAUAGUAGUCAACUUCUAACUGGCUACUUGUGGAUCCCUUAACACAAACACCGCAGUUGUAUGUCUUUCUUCCUUGCCCGUAUUCUUCAGUAUGGAAAACAUAUCCAUUGACAAAAUACCCGUUGUAGCACUUAACUUUUCUUUCAGGGCCGAGGCUUAGUGAAGACAAUGACUUGGGCGCACUCCUUCCCAUUUGAUAAACCUUGUAAAUAUAUGUAAUUAAAUGUACAUCAAUACACGGUAAAUGAACGAGAAUCUCGUAAUGACAUGCAUACGUUAGAAUGAGUUUGUGAUAGUGCUUACAUGUGUUCUGAACCAUGUGGCAAAUUGUUCAUCUUGUAAUUGAAAGAUCUGGGAUUCGGUCAGCUGCGAGUUAUUGGAGAGCAAAUAUUGUCGAUGUUGCCUGCAAGUGAUAAUGAGUGUAUGAUAUUACAAUAUAUAAUUAACAGUAUAUUACUGACAAAGUUUAAUUAGUAUUACACAUAUAUAGACUUACUGAAUAAAUGGUCUCAGCUCAUCACAGUUAAAUAGAACAUAGUUGUGUGCUUGUUUGAAUUCUAUUUCCGACAAAUAUCUUCCUCUUACGGCAUUUUUAGGUGUGGGUCGUCCAGUAUUGGAGAAUAUUGACAAGUUCCCACUGGAAGGCACUUCACCGCCAUCGUCAUGCCGUGGAACGCGAUUGAUUCUUGUUCUCAGAUGAGGUUCGAAAUAGUACGAGAUAAAUGUUGAUAUCUCUUCAACAAUAUAGGCCUCAGAUAUCGAAGCCUCAACAUGCGCCUUGUUCUUAACCUUUUUUUUUAGAUUAAACAAGUACCUGCAUUGAAGUACAAUUCAAGUAUUUUCAAAUAAGAAAAACAUAGAAAAUACUUUAAGAUAUGAAUUCCAUUGCAACUGUAAUAUCUCACCGUUCGAAUGGGUACAUCCAUCUAUACUGGACCGGUCCUCCAGCUUUUGCCUCGAACGGUAGAUGUAUAGGGAGAUGCUCCAUUGAGUCAAAAAAUGAAGGAGGGAAUAUCAUCUCAAGUUUGCAUAGUGUCUCGAUGAUAUUCGUUUGAAGCAUCUCAAUGUGCUCAACAUUCAUCUUGCUGGAGCAUAUAUCUCUGAAGAAAUGACUGAUCUCCGUUAGUGCAUCCCAUAUUCCCUUUGGCAACAAAUCACGAAAAGCUAAUGGGAUGAGUGUUUGCAUAAACACGUGGCAGUCAUGGCUCUUCAUUCCAUACAAUCUGCAGUCCUCUAUGUUAACAAGCCUUGAUAUGUUCGAUGCAUGUCCAUCCGGGAAACGCAGACUCUUAAGCCAUUUGUAGACUAGCAGUUGUGCGUUUUUCUCUAACACGAAGCUUGCCCUUGGUUUUGCAACCCGUGACUCGUCAUAAACCAACUCCAUAUUUUUACGGUUACAGUAUAAAGCUAUAUCCAAUCUAGCCUUCAUGUUGUCCUUUGUCUUCCCCUUCACAUCCAUGACGGUGUUGAAAAUAUUCUCAAACACGUUCUUUUCGAUGUGCAUGACGUCAAGGUUAUGGCGGAGAAGAUUAGUCUUCCAAUACGGAAGCUCCCAAAAGAUACUUCGCUUUACCCAAUUAUGGGUCAAACCAAAACCAGGAAACUUUUGCUUACCUGAUUGAAGGCCAAACACAAUGUCACCGUACUCUGAUACAACAUGAUGCAAUUCUUCACCAGAAAGACGCGGGGAUGCAACAUCUUUUUCAACUCUACCAACAAAGAAAUCUUUUCUGUUCUUUCUGAACCUGUGAUUAAGUGGCAAGAAGCGACGGUGACAGUCAAAAAAAGAAGCUUUACCUCCGUUUGCUAGCGUGAAUGCCUUGUUGUUUUCCAUGCAGUAUGGACAUGCGAGUUUCCCAUGCGUGCUCCAACCAGAAAGCAUUCCAUAAGCUGGAAAAUCACUGAUAGUCCACAUCAAAGCCGCCCUCAUAAGGAAAUUUUGUUUCCUCGAUAUAUCAUAAGUCAGAGAUCCGGAGGACCACAACUGCGCCAGCUCAUCUAUCAACGGUCGAAGACAAACAUCUAUAUUCCGCCCCGGGCUGCUUGGACCGGGUAUGACAGUAGAUAGAAACAUGAACUCCGGCCUCAUACACAUUCCCGGUGGCAAGUUAUAAACUGUGAGAAUGACCGGCCAACAAGAAUAGGGAGCAGCAAAUGACCCAAAUGGGUUGAACCCGUCUGUACACAACCCAAGUCGAACAUUCCUUGAUUCAGCAGAAAAGUCAGGAUGAACACUGUUAAAGCGUUUCCACGCUUCGCCGUCAGAAGGAUGCACCAUCACACCAUCAACGACAUCGUGUGUUUGGUGCCAUGUCAUGUGCUCAGCAGUCCUUGGUGACAUAAAUAACCUCUGCAGUCUAGGUGUGAUCGGAAAUAUCUAAGUUUUUUAUGCCACUAGAGUCUUCCCCCUGCCAGUUCUGGGUUUGUAACGGGAAUGCCCGCAUGUCAUGCACUCGGUCAUCUCAGCAUUUUCAAGGUAGUAUAACAUGCAGAAGUUAGGGCACAUGUCAAUUUUCUGGUAUCCUAAACCGAGGGGUUUCAUCAUGGACUUCGCAGCAUAGAAGUUCUCUUUGAGCCUGUUCCCUUCUGGUAAAAUGCUUCUUGCCCAAUCAAUAAUUUUGUCAUACCCGGCCUCACUCAACCCGUGAUCUGACUUGAUGGUGAACACCUGUGCCACGCCGAUAAUUUACUGUGGUUUGUGCAGCCAUCCCAUAAUGGUUCGUCAGAAUCUUUCAACAAAUCAAAAAACCUAGCUGCCUCUGCAUUAGGUUCUUCUUCUACGAUUGGACAUUGAUUGACAUUAUCUUGAUUCAUUCUCAUUGCAUCCAUAACCAUGUUUCUGUAAGGAUUAGUGUUGUCAUUUGCCGCUUCAUGCACGUUGCUAGCACUAGAAGUUGACCCAACCACCGUUUCUCCCAUUCUCCUAUUACUAACAAAUACCUCUCCAUGUGCAUACCAACACUCGUAAUCCUCCACAAACUCUUUAUGUAGAAGAUGCAUCAUUACAACAUCUAGAUGCAGAUACUUUUUAUUUUGACACUUCCUGCAUGGACACCUAAUACCGCCUCCAGUAAAAUUUCUGGGAAUAGAUGUUGCGAAAUUAAUAAAACCCUGAACCCCGUUACAAUAAUCCAUCAUCUGCAAUCCUUGGGGUGAAUCUAGAUACAUCCAUGAACGAUCAUCCAUGACUUCUAUCGAACCUCUAUAAAAAGGACCCAUUAAUUAAGCAAGCUCUUAAUUAUUUCAAAACAUAACAUGUAAUUCGGUAAUUCUACAAAUUAAGUUUUAACAAUUUUCAAACAAAUACAAUCUUACAAAAUCUAAAACAAACCAUAACAAGUAUAAAAUUAUACAUUCAUAUACUACAAGUUUGUUUGAGAAAUAACAAUAAAACAUGUACAUCUACUAAAAAAUAAUAAUACAUAUACUAAAAAAAAAAUUUGACAUUUAAAUGUUAAAAUUUUAAAAGAUAGAAUUACUUACAAAAAAUGAUAAAAUCCGUCGGUAAAUCAGAACACGGAUGCUGUGACCACAAAACAAAUACAACUUGUUGUGCUGAGAUGAGGAAGAUUUUUGUUUUGGGGCGAGGGGGGUGGUUAUUUUGCAGAUGGGGAGGGUUAGGAUUAGGAAGAAGAAGGAGAAAUGGGGGAGGAGAGUGUCGGCAGAGUGGCCAUAUAUUCACUUUUGCUGACGGACUUACCGACGGUUUGGAUUCCGUCGGUGAAUCCGUCGGCAAAACCGUCGGUAAUUCUGACGGGCAAUCGACACGUCACCGCACGGACCUGCUAUUCAAAUCCCUCGGUGAUUCCGUCGGUAUUUUUAACGGUGCACCGGUCACGUCACCGGUACGGAUCUGGCAUUUCAAAUCCGUCGGUGAUUCCGUCGGUAUUUUUUGACGGUGAACAGGUCCCAUCACGCGUACGGGCCCCAGUUUUAAUUCCGUCGGUGAUUCCGAAAAUCACCCGCCAAAACCUCGCGCCACUGCCCGCCCUUUUUUCAUUAAUUCUGAAUUUUCGGUCGGUAAUUACCGACGGAUAGUCCGUCGUAAUUACCGACCGAAUUACCGACGAAAUAUUCCGUCGGUGAGUUCGACCGAAAAAUACCGACAGAAAAAAUUCUGUCGGUGAGUCCGUUGGUAUUUAGCGAAUUUCUGGUAGUGUAUGUAAAUCAAGAUAAAUCAUCUUGCAAAUAAUAUUAUUAAUAUCUGAAAUGUAUAUUAAAUGUUAUUCCCUCACUGAGUUGGUUGAACUCACCUCUCAUUUUUAAUAUUAUUUCAGGUUCUUAGUUUCUGGGACUUUGUUGAGUGUUUCCGCUUCUUCAGUUCUGGUCGGUAUGCCUUGCUUGUUCGCGAGGCUUUCCUUUUAGUUUUGAUUUGAUAUCUUAGACGCUCCACUGUUACCUUGGUUUAAUUAAAUUUGGAUUUUGACAAUGUAAUGAGUAUUAUGAAUUAUUAUUUUUGUUUUAAUAACUAUCUUUCGGUUUCAUCAGUAUUUGAAUAAUAUAAUAUUUCUGAAUAUUAUGAGCCGCUGCGUAUUUUUGAACAAAUUAUUCUUUUGAUAUGUCCGUUCUGAGGCUUAGCCUAGGUGAGGUGUCCUUUCGACACCACUCCUACGUUGCCGGUCACGAAUCCGGGAUUCGGGUCGUGACAAAUCACCUUAUGGAUACCCAGAUUUCCAGUGCCUGGAAAUGGUUUAAAAAGAUUUUGUUUUGAGGUAAUGCAAAUCACAUCUCUAGUUGUUACUGGAUUUAAUAAAGUUACUUUAUACAGUUGAAAUUACUCGCUGCUUUCCUCUUGAAUCAUUAAUCCUAAAUGAUUAAUCAUGGAUAGUUUAAUAUAUCAGUGAAACUAGAUCAUUGACCGAGCUCGUACAGGCUAUACUAAAAAUUUUAUAAACAAAAAAAUAUGUAAGGAUUGAUAAUGUAUUUUUUUGUCAAACCGAAAUGUAAAACCAAAGGGGAAAAAAAUAAAAAAAAUUUAUUCAUUUUUCUUCCUAUUACGUUGAGCACCCUUAAAGUAAUCUGCAAUUGUCAAAGAACCUGAAUACAUAAUAUGAUUUCAGAACUCGUAUCUGUGUCCCAUGAACCCAUGGUUAUAAAUUUCAACGUUAGCAAAAAUUAUAUUCAAUUAUUAUUUUUUAAAUAUAUAAGUUUGAUAGUGAUUUUAUAUUUUAUUCUACACUAGCACGCGGGUUUGGCAAGCGCCGGAAAAAUCAAGGUGGAAUGUUAAGCGUGCUCCUGUAAUUCGGUAAUAAUUUUAGUUAAGCUCUCUAAUUAUUUACUUGUAAUUACAGUAAUUUUGUUUUCCUAAUUACCUGCUCUCUUCUAGUGCUUCUGAUUGAAAUUGAGUUAGGAGUUGAAGACCCUUAAGUGCAUUGGAUUGCCCAUCUAGAAGUUGUUUCUGUUUAUCCAAAGACUUCCCAGCCAUGUUCUCAAUGUCAUCAGCUGUGUUUUGUAAAGUUUCCAUCUUUGAAGACAUUGUGUCUCCAACUCUGCCAAUCUGCUUCUCUAUUUCCACAGCUUCGUUUCUCACAUUGUCUACUUCUUGGCCCAGAUUGGUGUAAGCAUCAUGAAGCAUCGACAUCCCUUCCUUCAAAUUGUCAUUCAUUUUUGCUUGUCCCUCUUGCAGCUCUGAUUGAGAAUGUGCAAUUUCCUUGGAAUGCUUAUAAACAGCUUCAGAGUGCUUAGAUAAAACAUCCAUGUGAUCCUUUGCAUCUUUCGUUGUUUGAGCUACAUUUUCAACCUGAAUAUCAAUAGAACUCAAUGAAUCCUGAAUUUGAUUCGAUCUCUGCAACAGGACAUGUGUUUUUCCUCCAAUAAUUUCUAACUGUUCUUCCGUGUAUUCUGCUGAAUUUUUAAGAUCAUUCACCAGUCUCUCCAUUUUAUGGUUGAAGGCAUGGGCCCUGUAGGCAAUAGCACAUAAAAAAAUCCUUGUUAGUUUCUGUCACAUCGUAUAAAACAAGAGAAGAACGGUCAGAACAGUGAAAGAAACUAUACUUAACUGUCACUGAUAGCAGAUAGAAUUGGUUUCCAGUGAGAAUUCAAGAUAAACCUUGUGCUCAUUGUCAUUCAACCUUUUGAGACAAUUAACCAUGGCAGAUUUUGUGUCACAAUAAGGGAAAGCUGGCCGUCCAGAGUCCUUUUGAAAGCAAUCACUAAGGUGCCAAGCAAAUCUCCACCGCUUCUCCUCGACGGCGAGAAUCUGCGAGCAGCCGGCAAAGAGAUUCUGGUAAGCAUUCUGCCAACAAGAAUUCGUGCCAACCAUUUUACUUUCGGCUUUUUCGACCAGUUUCAUCCCCUUCCCAUCACUAAGACCAUUCAUAGAAAAUUCCACCACAGAACCACGGGGCAAACCGUUUGUCUGUGAAUUAUCAUGGAGAGAGUCUCUGUUGAAGAAGAGAACCAACCCCAUGAUUGACAUCUUAAUGUAAGUGAGAUUAAAAUUACGAGAAACAAAAUCUGACUAUAAGAACCCAUUAAUUAUAUCUUUUCUUCCUGAUUUUGUUACUCUACUUUCUGUAUCUUCCACCAGAAGACUGAAACCUGCAGUACACAGUAUAACAAAUUAGCAGAUGCUUCCAAUGCUAAAGGCAUAUACACAAGUCUUGUAUUUAUGUAUAAACAAAGAGGUGGAGAAACUUGGAGUGCAAGAAAAGGAAAAGGCACGAUUUUAGCAUGAAAAGGACUGUUUGAAAGUGAAAUUAAAAGUGUAGAAAAUAGAAAAGAGACAGAGACUUCCAAAGAUUAAAAAGAAAAGAAAAGAAAAGUAGAAAUGGUCAAAUAGUCUCUUAAAACAUUCUACGAUAUUCCAAUAAUCAAAGAUGAGAUAACUUCAAGAAUUCUAAGGAAAUCAAAACAGGACAUAGUGUCAUAUCUUCCCAUUAAAUUAGCAGCAUAUCAACUAUUUUAAGAAAAUUAAGUCAAAAUUAAGAAAAUUCUUUAAAAUCAUAACCGUUUCAAUUAACCGUUUCUUUGUUUUCUCUCUUUUUUCUAAUUUCCUUUUACAAUUAAUUACUUAUAUGAUGGAUUAACAAAUGGAAAGAAAGAAACCAUAAGUAGCAAAAAGGGAUCCCCUCUUUAUCUUCUAUCACUUGAUUUCUUUUCUUAACUUCUUCUCCAGCUACCCCUCCCUCCUUUUCUCAUAUACAAAGCUUCUGCUACCUUUUUUAUCCUUUAAAAAACCAAAAAGCGGGCCAUGUUCAUGUUUAAAGUUUUGAUACGAUUAUCCUUGGAGCCUUAACCUGAAUUAUACGUAAAAAACGAAGAAAUUAAAGAAAGUCCUUGAAUGAGAGAGAGAGAGAGAGAGAUGGUGAGAGCAUACAUACUUGUUUGUGAAUGCUCACCGGGUGGGGGUGGGGGUGGGGGUGGUAUUAAGAGGAUAUAUAUAUAUAUAUAAAGUGAAGUGAAGAGACAUGAUGCUUUGAUUAAUUUGGAAAAUUAAUGAUGUUUCGAAAAGUCACUUUCCAUGACCGACAUUAAUCUUUCCUUUCCAUGUUACACCAGGUUUUAUAUUUUUUCCUUUUACGUUUAAUUCGUUUUCAAAAUUAACCCAAGAUUUCAGAACGUUGCAAUAUUAAACCUCAACGUCACAAAUGAUCUACUGUAAUUUAAUUUUAAGGCCUGAUUAAAUACCCAAGUUAUUAAAACACACUUGUUCCCAGCAGAACACAAUGUUUAAGGGGGAGAGAGAUCAUCUUGCAUGCAUAAAAUCGAAGACGUGUACUGUAACAGAUAUAUUGUUGUGUUGCAAACAGAUUUCAAGGUUCUAUAUAAAUCCAAGAACUUUUUAUGCACCAACUGAUGAUAUAAUUAUAAGUUAGAGUAAUUAUUGAAACCCUCCCAUAAUUAUUGGAUUUUGUUCCUUAACUUCCACCUAACGGAUUCAUCAUUCUGCUACUUCCAAAUCCAUUCAAGAAAUCUCAAAAGUCCAUUUGAAAUGAACAAAGGAUGCAUUAACCGGUUGAGAUGAAAAUCUCUCAACUAGAAUGAAAAGAUCCUUAUACCUCCAAGGUCUGAUAUGCGGUUUAUUCCUACCACCUGUAUUACCAGAAUGGAAUGCGCUAGUUCUAAGAUGCAGAGUCUGUGUUCGAACAAUGAUUUAUGGAAGCACAGGUACGUGGAGGAGCUUGGAAAUGCGUCCGAAACACAAAGUUUUGGCAACUGGAAAACUAGAUCAAUUCUCUAGAUAUCGAUGUUUUCUGCUAGAUCUUAUGGCAGCAUGAAGUCCACUAAUUUUGUCUGUGAUUGUAACUAUUUGGAUUGUUAAUUUUUUUAAAAAAAGUUUAUGUUCAUAAAUCGCCGGUCUUGCAAAUUGAUAAACCUUUGUUCGAAUGAUAUCGUAGAUUAAAAGGCUUAAAGGAAAUCUUUGUUUGUGUUGCAUAUAUUAAGAGAGUUCUUGAUGCCGGACAAAGAGAGAUUUGAAGAGAAGGGGAGAAGGGAGAGAAAGAACGAAGAGGAGAAGAAGCUGGGAAGAAGAGGAGGAGAGGAGAGAAGGGAAGGGAAGAGGAGAAUUGAACACUACAUUUUUUCUUUAAUUCAUCUAUAAACUGAUAAAUCAAAUAAAGCCCAAUCAAAUAGGUUUAAAGCCGAAACAGAGGGGUGGAACGGGAGUGUCUAAUGAAAGAAAACUCUAUAAGGUCGCGUGGAAUACUCUUUCAAAUCCAAAACAGAUGGAUGGAACUGGUUUGGGUUCUCGCAGAAGGUUUCGGUCUUGGGGUGAUUGCUUUUCCAAAUUUGCACCAAUCAGUUCUGCAUCAGCUAGCAAUGAUUUCGAAAAUGGGAGCUUGACAAGCUUCAGAGUGGACCAGGGCUUUAUCCAUGAGAGAAAGAGGAUGAAACUCGUCCUCAAUCAAUGCUUUCAGCACCAUAUUUACACCAAGAUAGGGUGGUUAUACUGUGAAAUCUUGUAGCGCAGUUGUGGCUGGGUUUUUGCUUCCAUGUCAGACCAUGAACAUCCCCAAUGUAUGGAAACCUACCGCUCUCCCAAAGGUAGAAUUCUUCACUUGGCUGGCUGUUCUUGAUAGACUGAACACAAAGGUAGAAAAUGUAUGUUGCUGCUGUCAAACUGAGGAAGAAUCACUCCACCAUCUACUACAACACUGCCAGCAAGUUUGGAGGAUUUGGAAUCAUGCAUGUGUUCAGUUGGCGAGGAUCAACUUAUACCCUUCCUAAAUCAGCAAGUGGUUUGUUUCAGCAAUGAAGGUUCUUUGCAAGAGGUGGAAAACAAGGUAUUUCCCACAUGAUUUUCUCUCUUUCUUCAUUUUGAUAUUUCAAUUAUUAAAAUAAAGUAAUAAUAUUACUCACACAAUACCAUAAAAUUCAUCGGAAUUUAAAAUUUUUAAUUUAGAAAUUUUGGCCAUGCAUGGUCUACAACCGUGAAAGAGGUCCCAGAAAAACACGAGUCCAAAGCUACUUGGACUUCUCCAUAAAUCAAGUGGAAAAUUGAUAGAUCAGCAGGAAAACUAACGUAGCAUUUCGUUAAAAAUAAACUCUAUUUUCGGCUAUUCCUCAAACAGUGUUUUAAGAUUGUAAGGCUUCACGAUGUCAAGACUUCCACUCCACAUUAGCUUCGCAAAUUGAUUGUUGGCACUCUCAGUUGGAUGAGCCGGAUCAAAGAAGAAAUAUUCACUUGCAUUGUCGCAUAAUUGAUAUCCUUUCUGACCACAAGUAGGGAAGCUUCUGUAAGGACCACUGCCACAACAUGCCUCUUGAACCUCCUUGAAACCUUCAUAUAUAGAGAAAUCACAUUUAAAUUCAUAACAAGGACAGGAAAUCUAUAUAGGGACCUUGAUUUUAAUUAUUUAAUACUUAUAGACAGGCAUUACCAUAUUUUUAUUAAUUCUCUCCCUUCCUGCAACAUAGGCAUCAAAAAUUGAGUAUCUAAAUCCUUCUAGUUGUCCCUCAAGCUCUUUGAGUGCUUUAGGGAGUGCUCUGUUGUGUAGUUUUGCAAACAUUGUAGCUUCAUCCAAGCAACCUGACACCCCUGUUCUUUCCUGUUUAGCUGCUCUCAAGGAUGGUAGACAACCCAAAGCAAUCAACGUUGACAAUCCAAAUUUCCUUCCUCCUAUCUUGUAUAUUUCCUGGAACAGUACAAUUACGCAAUCAUAAUCCAAGAUCAACUUGGAAAGAAGAGAAAGAAUGGUUCUUUAGCAUGCUAAAUUACUUGGAUCACUGUUGUUAUAUUGCCAAUAACCAUCCCAACAUACUCUUCUCUUGAAUAUAAUUGAAGCAAACUGUGCGUUGGUGUUAGAGCUGCAAAGUAGUCAUUGCCUCCAAUGCUGAACAUGUAAACUGCUGUGGACAGCAAGUUUUUAGCUUCUGCUUCACCUAGUUGAAGCCUUAACUGCCUUUUCAUAUGCUUGAAAUAGCUUAGUUGAGUGCUAAGGUUUAUCACCUUCAAAGAAAAGGGGAAAAAAUGAAAAACCGAAAAAAAAAAAAAACAGUUAUGGAACAUAUCUAAGACAGUAAACUUUGUGUUCUUGACAUACCCAUCCAUGAUGAGUUUCAACAAGAGCACCAGCUCCAGAUGAUGCAAAGUUCACUCCAUUUAUAAAUCGAUGAUUACUGGAUUGUAGAUGUUGUUGUAUUUCAGAGCUUAUCACCUUGAAAACAAUCAUUGAAUCUCAUUAUUCCUUUAGAAGAUUUAAGAGAGAUCUCGAGUUUAAUUAAUUUAUAAAAAGACGAAAAGUGGUGGGGAUCAAUAACAUUGAAGACCCCACCAAGAAAAAACAACAUCAUGAUGACAGACAUACCAUUCCUUGGAGAUUUUCAGCGAGAACAAGAUCCCCUUUUGACUCAAAGUUUUCUCCAUCCAUAAAUUGAUGGUUACCAGGUUGUAGAUAUGGCGGAAUUAAAGGUAAAUUUGCAUAUUGAGCUGUCACAAAACAUUUCAUAAAAAUAAGAAAAGAAAGAACAAAAAAGAAUGAAUUAAAGUGCUCUUAACUGUAAUGAUCUUACCAAUAAAAUCUGGAAUUAAUCGACCAUCACAAGGCCUUCCUGUGGGAUGCUUGAAGAAGGUUCCAUACCAUACAGAAAUCUGAAAAGAUAGGAGCAUCUUCGAUGUACUUGUUGUUUCCAGCAUCAUAUAAUGAAUCUCCAAAGAUAAAUAAGGCAACAUGCUUAGAACCAUGGCAGCUUCUUGCAACCAGAAGGCUUGCACAAAACACCAAGAAACAAUUCUUAAUAUUGGACCUUGAAAUACUGUUAUAUAAUUGUAUAAGGAUUGAUAAUAUAUUUUUUAGUUAGAAAGAAAAAUUUAUUUGUAAAUUUAAAAUUUGAAGUAUAUAUUUAAUAAAAUAAAUUAAAAAUUAUAAGUGCUAAUAAAUAUAUAAAAAAUAAGUUGUCAAGGUGAAAACAAAUACAAAUUAAAAUAUUCGAUUUUACAUUAUAAAGAACCCUUCAAUUAUUUAUAUUUAAUUAUAUAACAGUAUUUUAAUUAUAAAAAUAAUAAUUUAAAUUUUGUUUAAACAAAAUAAUUUUCUAUUAUAUUUCCUUCUUUUAUUAAUACUUUUAAUUUCAGUAAAAAAAAUUAACUUUUUGUUGCUUGUCUUUCAUUUAAUAAAAAUUAAAAGAAAUUAGAAUACAUAUCCAUAGGAUUUUGGAUGAUUUAAAAUAAAAAAAAAAUAUCUCUCUAAUUAGAAUCUGUUUGCCUAGCUGACACGCUCAUUUAAAAAAAAAAAUCUUUAUCAGAAUAUUUAAUUUUUAGAUAUUAUUUUAUCAUUAUCUUAAAACAAGUUUGAAUGAUUAUAAAACACAUUUUGAUAACCUAGAAAAUAAUAAUUUAAUAAACAUCCUUAAAACUUAAAAAAAUAAUAAUUUAUUAGCCCAAAAAAACCUAAAACAAUUGUCCAAAAUAAAAAAAGUAAAAAUCAUGAAAAAAAGUUUUCUUUAUCUUUUGAGUAGUUUUUAAUAUCUUGAGCUCUACCUCACUUGUCUCUGAUGAUUGAUUAUUAUAAAAAAUUUCUAUAGCUCCCAAUUUCCAAGAUUAUAGUAUGAGGCGACAAGGCAAGUGGCUGUGUUUUUUCAAAAAUACAAUCAAAGGCAGUAAGACACGAUUAUGCUGAAAAAAUUCUUAUGGUAAGCUUUGGUUGGUUUAGAAAAAUAUGCUUGAUUCAUCACGUUUCUCCACCAAUAAAAGUGUUGGCAUGAAAACAAGUAGAAUUAAUGAGAUUGUGUAUAGAAAAAUAUAUAAAAUAUUUGCACAAUAAAAAAAAGAAUAGAAGAAAAAAUAUAUAAAAUAUACAUAAAAAUAAAAAAUAUAUCUAAAAAGAACCUAAGUAUUUUUUUGGCUGGGCUCGAAAUCAUACCCAACUGUCUAGAUCCGAUAGUUUUUAUUUUAGCUGAUAUGAUCAUUAUGAUUGUAAGAAAUUGUUCAAUAAGAGUUAUUAUCUUAUAUAAGAUUUAAAAAUUCAAAAUCUUUAUUUUAUAACUUCUAAGUUUUGAGUACAUUAUUAUUAUUAUUAUUAUUAAUAUAUGAAAUGAAUGACUAUUAAAGUUAUUAAUUAGAUGUUAGACUGGUGGCGGAAAUCGUAAUGGCGGCUAAUAUUUCAAGUCGGCUUGAAUAUUACUGCUCGACGGCUUAGCUAGGUAGAUAGCUCAAGCUCAACUCAAGCGGGUGAAAUAUGAUUGUUACAGAUUGUAACAGCUAAAUCCAGCUAGAGAGGAGUAGGAAUCCAGGAAAAAAACAAUCAACGGCUAGGAUUGGGUUGGGUAUUUGAGAAUGGGUCCGCUUCCUGUCCAGGAGAGAGGGGGGAAGAAGACUUGGUUGGUUUUCUUUCUCUCUCCACAAGGCAAGGAAAAAAAUGAAAUCAAGGUUGUCAAUUCUAUUUUGAUAUGUAUUUUAUUUAUUUAAUUGAAAUGAAAUAUUUUAGUUUUGAAGUAUUUUAAUAUAUUAUUUUGGAGUUGUACUGUUUAUAUAUAUAAUUCAAAUUAAUUAAUUAUAACAUAAUUCAAAUUUAAGAUAAAUUAAUUAUAAAUUAUGCAAUACAAACACAAUGCCAAACAAAUAUAAUUUCAAAAUUUAAAAUAUUUUUAAAUAGUCAAGAUUAAAUAAAUCUUUAACUUAAAGUAAUUCAACUUAAACAAAAUAUCAAAAUAUUAUGAAAGUAAAAUGUUUUAAUAAAAAUAUUUUAAAUAUAAAAUUAGGUUAAUGUUAUCAAGUGGUUAAUGGAAUCUAAAGCUUCCCUUGUUUUGCUCAAAUUCCUACAAAGUAUAAAUAUGAAAAAAAAAAUAACAUGAAUAUAAACCAUAUAUAUUAGUGAUAAAUCUAAUUUUAAAAAAUUAAUAUUAUUGUUAAUGAAAAUAGUAAUAAUAAUUUUCAAUAUUAUUAUUAAUAUCAUUGCUAUUGAAAAUAGUAAUGAAAAAGAGCUUUUUUAUAAUCAGGUGGUUUAAUUAAUGAAAUUAAGUAAGGUUCAAUUUGAUUCAAUGACUUUUUAAGAGUGGAACGAAACAUGUGGAAUGAAACUGGAACGUUUCGGGCGAAAUUUAGCUGAAAAAUCCAGAAUGGACCGAGAUUUAAAAUUAGAUGAAAUUUGUUCCGUUUUUUGAAUUAAUAUGGAAUGUUUCGGCCAUUCUGGACGAAACGGAACGGAAUUGACAACCUUUAAUGAAAUAAAAUGAUGGUGGUUUUCUGGGACCCGUGUAUCCCCUGAAAUUGAAAGACCAUACGACCACGUGUUGCCGGUAAGGUCACUUUCAAUAUUCAUCCCCAUCCUCAUCCUCAUCCCUAUGGUCUAAAUUAUAAAACUAAGUCCUUUUAGUUUUGAGAAAUGAAUUAAUUAGUUAUUUUUUAAAAAAAAUAAAUUAUUUAGUCCUUUUUGUUCAUUUAUGUUUUUUAUUUUUUAAAAAAUAAAAGAAAGGAAAUGAAUAAAUAAAUAUUAUAAAAAAGUAACCUGGUCAAUGAACUAGGUAAUUUAUUUUUUUAAAAAAAGAUUAAUUAAUUUAUCUUUUAAAAAUAGAGAAACUGUUUUUUACGAGAAUUCACAUUUUUUUAUAUCCAAUAUGUAUAUUUAUGCUCUAAAACAGACAUCGGUUAUGAGAAGAUUUGACAAAAAUACCGACAACAUUGACAAAAAAAAAAAAAACACUAAUUGAGAAUAUUUUGAAAUGUUUGGAACCUAAUUGAAAAAAUUCAUAGGUUUUAAAUGUAAUUGAGAAUGGAUAUACAAGUUGGAGAGUAACAUGAGGGUUUCCCUAUAAUAGCAUGUUUUAAAUUAUAUAUACUUAUAAUUUUUAAAUUUUAAUUUCAUCGUUUGAUUUUUGAACAAAUAAAAUAUGUAUAAUUGGACCAGGUCUAAAGAUUAGAUGGGAUCAAACCAAUAAGAAGCCUGAGAAAGUCCACGAAGAAAAACCAGCUAACAUUGCAAUGAGGACUUGUUUCAACAGUUAGAAUGACAAAAAACCCAGCUAACAUCGGCAAAUAUAGGUUCAAAUUACCAGUUUACAUACCUGACGUCCACUGUGCAUAAAAAUAUCUGUAUUUAAAAUGAUUUUUAUAUUUGAUCCUAUUAUUACAUACCUAACGUCCACUGUGCAUCAAAAAAUUACCUGGAACUAUUAAAAGAUGUUUUUAUUUAUAAUUUUUUAAAAUAUAAAAACAUGUUAGAGAAGUUGUGUAUAUACAUAUUAUUGCUGAAAAAAAUAUCUUUAUUUAAAAUGAUUUUUGUAUUUUAUCCUAUUAUUUUGUACCAUUAGAGAAGACAACACAAUAAAACUAUAUAGGUGAUGAGACAAAGGGAUAAAAUGGGGAUCCAAAAACAUUUUAAAUAUUUGUUAGUAAAUUAAAAACACCAGAAGCCAAUAAAUUAUAGUGUUGAUUAUAAAAAUAAAGGUAUUAAGUUAUAAUUUUGUUUAAAAUGCAAGGGAUAAAUUUACACCACAUCCAUUUAAUAAUUAUUAUUAACAUAUAUUGAAAGACCUUGAUAUUUCAUUAUAGCAAUAAACAGUGAAAUGUGAUAGCCUUAGUUUGGUCCUCAAGAUUUACUAAAAGAUCUUAGCAUUUUAUUAUUGCAAUGAACAUUAAAAUGCUUUGACCUUUUACAAUUUGAUCCUCGAGGUUUUUUAUUUUAUUUUUUGCAAUUUCAUCUUCUGACAUUAAAUUUAAUGGACAUUGAACUUUAUAGUUUAUUUUGAUUUAUUUUCUAUGAAGUUAUCUUAGUCUUAUAAUCUAAGUUUUAACAAGUUAAUACGAGUUUACUCGACUAUUUUUUUGUAUUUUUUUUUAAAUUUAACUUCAUCCUUCAGUAUUGAGUUGAUUGAGAAUUUGAUUUGAUUUUUUUUUAUUUGUUUUAUAUAGGGUUAUCAUGGUCUCGUGACCUGGAUCACAAGUUUUGCGAGUUAGCCAAUUUGAUUGGAAUUUUUUUAGGUCCUUUGUUCUUUUUAAUUGAAUUUUUUUUUCAAUUUCAUUAUUCAAAUUGAAAAUUUGAAUUCAGAAUUUUUUUUUAUUUCAAAGUUAUCCCGGUCUCAUGAUUGAGGUUUGAUAGGUUAACCGAGUUUGAAUCAAUAUUUUGUUUUUUUUUUAAUUGAUUUUUUUUUCAAAUUAAUCCUUCAACAUUGAGUUGAUUGGAAAUUGUGCUUUAUAAUUUAUUUUUAUUUAUUUUCUAUAGAUUAUCAUGGUUUCAUGACCCAAGUCGCAGGUUGCUUGAUUGCCUCGAGUUUUUUUUUCUUUUUUUUAAUUAUUUUUUUUCAAUUUCAUCCUUCAAUAUUGAGUUGAUUAAGCAUUAGAUUUCAUAAUUUAUUAAGCAUUAGAUUUCAUAAUUUAUUUUGGUUUGUUUACAUGAAGUUAUGACAACCUCAUGACUUAAGUCACAAGUUUGGUUGGUUAACUCAAGUGGUUUUUUCGUGCUCUUUUUUUAAUUGAUUUUUUUUUCAAUUUCAUCAUUUAAAAUUAGAUUGAUUGAGAAUUGAGCUUCAUAAUUUAUUUAAGUUUUUUUCUAUAUAGUUAUCUCAUUCUCAUAACUAAGAUAACCUAGGUUGACUCGACUUCUUUUUCUAAUUGAUUUUUUUUAAUUUUAUUAUUUAAUAUUGGAUUAAUUGAGAAAUGAGCUUAAUGAUUAUUUUUUAUUUACUUCUACAGGGUUAUCAAGGUUUUAUGAUAUGAGUUGGAGAUUUGAUAGGAUAACUUGAGUUGAUUCGAGUGAAUCCAAAUCGAUUUGAGUAAAUCUAAGUAGAUACAAUAUAUUAUUGUCUUACUAUUUUAAAAAUAAUAUCGUGCUGAAUUUUUUUUUGUCAAGUUACAUUUUUACCUGUUAUUUAAGUUGUUUUUAGAUCUAUAAAGUUGAUUAUAUCAUAUCAGGACAGUUUUUAUAUAAUUUAUUUAUUUAUUUUUGCUAGAAAAUAUAUUAAAUAAAUUACUUCAUCAACUUUGCCAAUAAAAACAUGAUAGGUUCGAAUCAUUUUCCAUUUAUAAUAGUGUUUAGAUAAGUGAAUGACCUCAUCAACUUUGCUAUUAAAAACAUAAUACGGGCAACCGUGUGAUUAUGGUUUGGAUCCAGGUCGGGACAAGUGCUGGAGUUCAUGAUCGUGACCACCUAGCAUCUUCGAAUAAUUCUCCUCUAUCACCCUUUUUUUUUUUAAUGCUUGUUUGGAAUAAGUUUUUGAGAUUAGUUGUGAUUAUGAUGUCAUUCUACUGUCAUUAAGAAUAAAUUAACUCUAACCGAGGAUUAAAACAGAUUUAUCAAAUACUUUUUGCACUGUGUCUAGCUAAUGGAGAAUAUAUUGAAAAGAAAAAUACCCUUGAGAAUUCACAGCCAAAAGCGUUAAUCACGUUUCUGUUUAAAACAGGAAAAGGCAUGCAAUAAUUGACAAAUGUUGCUUGAAAUCACAGCUAUCUUCCUUCUCUGAAACUUCAAUUGCUUUAUUAUACUUUUAUAGGCAUAGCCAAGUCAAGCCUGCACCGUGUGGAGCCUAAUCAAUAUAAUCAGAGACUGCUGUUUGCCUUUUCCAUUUUUCAUCUCAUACUGCUCUGUCUUCUCAAUAUUUACUUGCCAUUUCUUGCUCACCUCCCCUGCUUUUAGUUUUCCUUGCACCUUUUCUACCUCUUCUUUUCCAUUCCAAAACAAGCUAUGGCUGAUGCUAUUGUUUCUGCUCUCGCGAGUACAAUCGUGGGGAACUUAAAUUCCUUAUUUCUUCAAGAGCAUGGACUUGCUGGGGGCCUAGAGACUGAGCUUGAAAAUCUCAAGCGCACAUUCAGAACCAUUCAAGCUGUGCUGCAAGAUGCAGAGGAGAAGCAGUGGAAGAGUGAGCCUAUCAAGGUGUGGCUCAGCGACCUAAAGGAUGCUGCUUAUGUUGUUGAUGAUGUACUGGAUGAGUUUGUAAUUGGAGCUAAGUGGCUUCUGCAGCGAAGAGAUCUCAAAAAUCGAGUAAGAUCCUUCUUUUCUAGCAAACAUAAUCCAAUUGUUUUUCGACAAAGGAUGGCUCAUAAAUUGAAGAAUGUUAGAGAAAAACUAGAUGCCAUUGCCAAGGAGAGACAAAAUUUCCACCUAACAGAGGGGGCUGUGGAGAUGGAAGCAGAUAUUUUGUUCAGCGUCAGACUUGGUCUUCGGUGAAUGAAUCAGAAAUUUAUGGAAGAGGCGAGGAGAAAGAGGAACUAAUCAACAUGCUGCUCACUACUUCAGGUGAUCUCCCUAUUCAUGCUAUAAGGGGGAUGGGGGGGCUGGGUAAAACAACACUUGUUCAACUGGUCUUCAAUGAAGAAAGUGUUAAACAACAAUUCAGUUUGAGGAUCUGGGUGUGUGUAUCUACUGAUUUCGAUCUCAGAAGAUUAACAAGAGCCAUCAUAGAGUCCAUUGAUGGUUCCCCUUGUGGUCUUCAAGAAUUGGAUCCCUUGCAACAAUGCCUCCAACAAAAGUUAAAUGGAAAGAAGUUUUUGCUUGUAUUGGAUGAUGUGUGGGAUGAUUAUGGUGAUAGGUGGAAUAAAUUGAAGGAGGUAUUAAGGUGUGGAGCUAAAGGUAGUGCUGUCAUAGUAACUACGCGUAUUGAGAUGGUUGCUCUUAGAAUGGCAACAGCUUUUGUCAAGCACAUGGAGAGAUUGUCUGAAGAAGAUUCUUGGCGGUUGUUUCAACAGCUUGCAUUCGGGAUGAGAAGGAAAGAGGAGCGGGCACGUCUGGAAGCCAUUGGAGUAUCAAUAGUGAAGAAGUGUGGUGGUGUUCCUUUAGCUAUAAAGGCACUCGGGAACCUAAUGCGGUUAAAAGAAAGUGAAGAUCAGUGGAUAGCUGUCAAAGAAAGUGAGAUUUGGGAUCUAAGAGAAGAAGCAAGCAAGAUCUUACCUGCUUUGAGGUUGAGUUACACUAAUCUAUCACCACAUUUGAAGCAAUGCUUUGCGUAUUGCGCUAUAUUUCCAAAAGAUCACGUGAUGAGGAGGGAGGAGCUGGUUGCUUUGUGGAUGGCAAAUGGCUUUAUUUCUUGCAGAAGAGAAAUGGAUUUGCACGUCAUGGGCAUUGAGAUAUUCAAUGAACUAGUGGGAAGGUCAUUUCUGCAAGAGGUCGAGGAUGAUGGAUUUGGCAACAUAACAUGUAAAAUGCAUGAUCUUAUGCAUGAUCUUGCACAAUCCAUUGCAGUACAAGAAUGCUAUACGACAGAAGGCGAUGGGGAGUUGGAAAUUCCUAAAACUGCCCGUCAUGUUGCUUUUUAUAACAAAUCAGUAGCUUCGUCUUCUGAAGUUCUCAAGGUCCUAUCACUUCGCUCACUUCUUGUGAGGAAUGAACAGUAUGGGUAUGGAUGGGGAAAGAUUCCUGGUCGAAAACAUCGAGCCUUGAGUUUAAGAAAUAUCCGGGCCAAGAAAUUGCCGAAGUCAAUUUGUGAUUUGAAACAUCUAAGGUAUCUAGAUGUGUCAGGCUCGUUCAAAACACUGCCUGAAAGUACAACCUCUCUCCAAAACCUCCAGACACUAGAUCUGAGUUCUUGCAGCGAACUCAUCCAAUUACCAAAAGGUAUGAAGCACAUGAGAAAUCUUGUCUAUCUUGACAUAACGGGUUGUUAUUCACUUCGAUUUAUGCCUGCUGGAAUGGGGCAAUUGAUAUUCCUGCGAAAACUUACCCUGUUCAUUGUGGGUGGGGAGAAUGGUCGUCGCAUAAGUGAGCUGGAAGGGCUGAAUAAUCUUGCUGGUGAAUUGAGUAUCACAGAUCUUGUGAAUGUUAAGAAUUUAAAAGAUGCCACAAGUGCCAAUUUGAAGUUGAAGACAGCUCUUUUAUCACUGACUUUAUCUUGGCAUGGUAAUGGAGAUUACCUUUCUUACCCUUGGUUAAUUGUGCCACCGCAACAAAGAAAGAGUGUUAUUCAGGUAAAUAACGAGGAGGUCCUUGAAGGGCUUCAACCUCAUUCAAAUCUGAAGAAGUUGAGGAUAUGGGGAUAUGGAGGUUCAAGAUUUCCUAAUUGGAUGAUGAACUUGAACAUGACGCUACCAAAUCUGGUAGAGAUGGAGCUAUCAGCAUGUGACCACUGUGAACAACUUCCACCAUUGGGGAAACUGCAGUUCCUCAAGAGUCUUGUAUUGCGUGGAAUGGAUGGUGUGAAGAGUAUUGACAGCAAUGUGUAUGGAGAUGGGCACAAUCCAUUCCCAUCUUUGGAGACGCUGACUUUUAAGCACAUGGAGGGAUUAGAGCAAUGGGCUGCGUGUACUUUUCCUCGCCUUCGAGAAUUGGAGAUAGUCGGUUGCCCUGUGUUGAACGAAAUACCAAUUAUACCCUCCAUCAAAUCACUGCACAUCGAGGGAGUGAAUGCUUCGUUGCUGAUGUCAGUUAGGAAUCUCACUUCGAUCACUUCUCUUUAUAUUAGAGGGAUUGACGAUGUGAGGGAGCUUCCCGAUGGGAUUUUGCAAAAUCAUACCCUCCUUGAAAGCUUCCAUAUUAGUGAGAUGCGAGAUCUGGAGUCUUUGUCAAAUAGGGUAUUAGAUAACCUUUCUGCACUUCAAAAGUUGGAGAUAUGGGGUUGCGAGAAACUUGAAAGCUUGCCAGAGGAAGGUCUUCGUAACCUCAAUUCCUUGGAGGUUUUAGAGAUAUGUAGAUGUCCAAGAUUAAAUUGUCUGCCAAUGAAUGGGUUGUCUGGCUUAUCUUCUCUUCGGGAGUUACUUUUUCAACAUUGUGUUAAAUUAACAUCUCUCACUGAGGGAGUGCGGCAUCUGACGGCACUUGAGGAUUUGUUACUUAAUGGAUGUCCAGAGCUAAAUUCAUUGCCAGAGAGUAUCCAACUUCUCACUUCUCUCCAAUCUCUAAGAAUAUGGGACUGCGAGGGAUUAACUUCUUUGCCAAAUCAGAUUGGAUAUCUCACUUCUCUCCAAUCUCUACAUAUAUGGAACUGCAAGGGAUUAACUUCUUUGCCAAAUCAGAUUGGAUAUCUCACUUCUCUCCAAUCUCUACUCAUUGAGGGUUGUCCAAAUUUGAAGAAAAGGUGUGAGAAAGAUUUAGGCGAAGACUGGUCUAAGAUAGCUCACAUUCCUAAUAUUAGUAUAAAUUGAUAUGCAAAAUUGUUAAAAUAAUUUCUCAUUAACAUUGAAUGAGAAUAAAAUAUAUAUUUUCUUAGUUUUAAUUUGUUGUAAUUGUUUAAAUAACUUUAACAAAGAUUAAUUUCUUUGUAUCCUAAAUUGAAAAUGUUUGGAUUUGCGAGCUUUGUCAUUCAAGAUCGCUGUGCGCUUCACGUGGAAAUACACUCGCUCGAUUGCCUAUAGUUGACCCAGCCUUUUAUCCAUUAUAUUUUAUUUCGAUCAAAACGACCUUUUCAUGUAAAAUUUUCUAAACUUAAAAUACGCAUCGCUCGCACCAGAAAGUAUAUAGAGAGCAUCAAUACAAACAAACUGGAAAAUCGAAAUCUAAUCCAUCCAAAUAAUAAACUUAUUACAAAACAAUGGAGACGGCAAUUUGAGUAACAAUUCAAGACUGUAAUUUAACAAAAAGCUUCAUGAUGCUUUAUGAAAUGAAAAUUGUUUACACAAAACAAUAAAGAAUGAGCUCAUAAGCAUGGUCUUUUAGUCUGUAUGAAGACGUAAUUUUACUUAAUUAAUUGAAACUAAUAAUAUUAAACAAGAGGAGCUAAUUGAUUGAGUCUUGGAUCGAGACGUAAUGUUACUUAAUUCUGAAUCAAUUGGUUAUAUGUACUUAAUUUGCUUGUUUGUAUCACUAAUUACUACUGCCUCCCGGCGUAAAUCUCAAGGGAAGUGGAAUUAACAAAGAUUAAUAUCAUAAUCUAAACUUCAUUUCUUGCAAGCAAUAUAAUAAAACUAUACCCAAGUCUCAGGUUUAAUUUAGUUUCCCUUUGAUUUUCAGCUCCACAACCAUUAUCUUUUAGAUAGCCAAAGGUCAUUUUCCAGGCUAAAAGACCACUAAAACUCGCAACGUCCACUGCCAAAACAGAAAUAUCCCAUGAUUUUCCUCAAGGCCUUUUCAAGGUAUACAAAGAUGGCCGCAUAGAGAGAUAUUGGAACAUUGACUUCGUUUCAGGAGGCGUCGACACAGAAACAGGGGUCCAUUCCAAAGAUGUUGUGAUCUCACCAGUGACCAACGUCAAGGCUCGUAUUUUCCUCCCAAAAAUCGACGGCCCAGCUAAAAAGCUCCCUCUCCUCGUCCACUAUCAUGGUGGUGGCUUUUGCAGAGGCUCACCAUUUACUUCUGCCUUGAAGAAUUUUCUUUCAACCCUAGCCACCCAAGCCGAUGUCACCGCUAUAUUGACUACAGGUUAGCACCUGAACACCAAUUACCGAUUGCAUACGAUGAUUCAUGGGCAGGGCUUAAGUGGAUCGUGAAGCACUCUAAUGGUAAUGGACCCGAACCAUGGAUUAAUGAAUAUGCGGAUCUCGGGCGGGUUAUUUUAGCCGGCGAGAGUGCUGGAGGCACCAUAGCCCAUUAUGUGGCUGUCCAAGCUGGGGCUGCGGGAUUGGCUGCCGUGGCUAUAGAAAGGUUACUAAUAGUGCACCCAUAUUUUUGGGCUAAGGAGCCAGACAAGUUCUACCAAUAAAUAUGUCCAACAAGUUCUGGGGCAGAUGAUCCAAAAUUGAACCCGGCAGUGGAUCCGAAUUUGUCGAAAUUUAAGUGUGAUAAAGUGUUAGUUUGUGUGGCAGAAAAAGGAUAAGCAUAGAGGCAGAGGUAUGGCUUAUUAUAAGCUAUGAGCGAGUGUGGAUGGGGUGGUACUGUGAAUUUUUAUGAAACUGAAGGGGAGGACCAUUGCUUUUAUUUGCUGAAUCCCAAGAGCGAGAAUAUCGAGCCCCUGGUGAAAAAAAUUGUUGAUUUCAUACGGCUGGAUUGAUUUUUUGAGUUUUAUUAAGUGGGAAUCAACAACUUAAUUUUCAGCAAUGGUGAGAGCAGAAAAAUAAUGGUUGAAUUUAAGUUUGUUUGGAUUGUAUUUUGUUUUUUAAUUUUUUAAUAUAUGUACUUUCAAAUGCCAUAUAAAAUGUGCCAUUAUGUUUAUUGCAUUCUUUUGGGCCAUUUUGGCUUGGCAGCACUUUUGUUUUUUAAAUAUUGGUGAAAUAAUACAAAAAAAAAUAAAAAAUAGUGAAAUAAUACAAUUUAUACAUGUCAAUGAAUGGAAAAUGCAAUAUAACUCAGUUUAUGCAGGUCGUGAUUGAAAAAUACUAUACUUAUAACUUGUUGCUAUUAGAAUAACAACUUCUAUAAAAACAUUUAUGAAAAAAACAAGAAACAUAAGAGAGAAAGGAAUCUAAAAAGGAAAGGAUAACUCUUAAAAAGAAUGCCAUCAACAAUAAUCCAAGUGAGUUACAUUUGUUUCUACAGAUGACGAAUAACUUACUUGCUUUUGGUGCUAAUUGUAAUUGUGAUUCACUAGGAUUGUUGUCGUUGAUCUUAUUUGUUGUUAUUGUAUUUAUCCCGUCAAAAUCUUUUUGUUGUUGUAGAAGUCAUUAUUCUGAAUAGCAACAAGCUAUAAAUAUCGUGUUUUUCUAAUUGCGACAUGUACAAACUAUGAUAUUGCACUAAUUAUUUUUAAUUAUAUGUUAUUCUACUAAUAUUCUUCAUUUAAUGUGCUAUUUUUUUUAAUCAUUCUUUCGCUUCCCUUAUUUCUUCAUUCUAGGUGCAAACAAAGUAAAAUAUCAUAAAGUAAAUAUUUCAUGUUUAUAUUUAGUCAACUAAUUUGGUUUAAUUAAAAAAAUACCUUUUUAAAAGCCAACUUUAAUAAAGAACAACAAUAAAAAAAAACCCUAAAAUAACCCAAGUUAUUUUCCAAAUUAAUGAGAAAUCUUGUAGAAAACAAAUAAAAAUAUAAUGGAGUUCAAUAUUUAAUUAAAUAAAUACUAAAAGAUAAAAUUAAAAAAAACACAAGUUUAAAAAAAAGAAAAAAAAAAGAGUAAGCAAACUUAGAAAUAUUUUCUAAACCUGAAUUAAUAUUUCAAAUUCAGAAAUCAUAAAAUUCUAGACUCCAACUUAAUAUAAAAACUCAAUCUCUAAUUAAUUUAAUAUUAAAUAAUGUAAUAAAUUUUCUCGAAUGGGAUUAAUCUUACCAUUUAAAAAAAGUGUGAUGAUACUCGGGUAAGAAAAAAAAAUGUUAGAAAAACUUGAAAUUUUGACGUUUGAAUAUAUAUUCAAUUUUGACGUCUUCAAGAUCUUGGACUUGCUGGGGGCCUAAGGACCGAGCUUGAAAAUCUCAAGCGCACGUUCAGAACCAUUCAAGCUGUGCUGCAAGAUGCAGAGGAGAAGCAGUGGAAGAGUGAGCCUAUCAAGGUGUGGCUCAGCGACCUCAAGGAUGCAGCUUAUGUUGUUGACGAUGUACUGGAUGAGUUUGCAAUUGAAGCUCAGUGGCUUCUGCAGCGAAGAGAUCUCAAAAAUCGAGUAAGAUCCUUCUUUUCUUUUGGUCAUAAGCCACUAGUUUUUCGAUUGAAAAUGGGGCUUAAAUUGAAAAAUGUGAGAGAAAAACUGGAUGCCAUUGCCAAUGAGAAAAACAAGUUCAAUUUAACACCACGAGUUGGGGACACAGCAGCUGAUACCUACGAUUGGCGGCUUACCAGCUCACUCGUGAAUGAAUCAGAAAUUUAUGGAAGAGGCAAGGAGAAAGAAGAACUAGUUAACAUCCUGCUCGCAAAUUCAGACAACCUCCCUAUUUAUGCUAUAUGGGGAAUGGGGGGACUCGGGAAAACAACACUUUCUCAAAUGGUCUACAAUGAAGAAAGGGUUAAACAACAUUUCAGUUUGAGGAUCUGGGUGUGUGUAUCUACUGAUUUCGAUGUAAGAAGAUUAACAAGAGCCAUCAUAGAGUCCAUUGAUGGUGCUUCAUGUGAUAUUCAAGAAUUGGAUCCCUUGCAACAACGCCUCCAACAAAAGUUAACUGGAAAAAGGUUUUUGCUUGUAUUAGAUGAUGUGUGGGAUGAUUAUGAUGAUAGGUGGAAUAAAUUGAAAGAGGUAUUAAGGUCCGGAGCUAAAGGUAGUGCUGUGUUGGUAACUACGCGUAUUGAGAUGGUUGCUCGUAGAAUGGCAACAGCUUUUGUCCAGCACAUGGGGAGAUUGUCUGAAGAAGAUUCUUGGCAUUUGUUUCAACGGCUUGCAUUUUGGAUGAGAAGGAAAGAGGAGUGGGCACACCUGGAAGCCAUUGGAGUAUCAAUAGUGAAGAAGUGUGGUGGUGUUCCUUUAGCUAUAAAGGCACUCGGGAACCUAAUGCGGCUAAAAGAUAAUGAAGAUCAGUGGAUAGCUGUCAAAGAAAGUGAGAUUUGGGAUCUAAGAGAAGAAGCAAGCAAGAUCUUACCUGCUUUGAGGUUGAGUUACACUAAUCUAUCACCACAUUUGAAGCAAUGCUUUGCGUAUUGCGCUAUAUUUCCAAAAGAUCACGUGAUGAGGAGGGAGGAGCUGGUUGCUUUGUGGAUGGCAAAUGGCUUUAUUUCUUGCAGAAAAGAAAUGGAUUUGCAUGUCAUGGGUAUUGAGAUAUUCAAUGAACUAGUGGGAAGGUCAUUUCUGCUAGAGGU
rnacentral:lncRNA from 1 species